UCUUCCUCCAUUUUCUUUAUUACCACAUCCCGGUCUGGCAUGUGGAAGGCCUUUGUAAAAAUCUACAAACAUAGGAUUUGAGACUUUCGCUGCGAAUACAAUCAAUAAAAUCUUCUCGGGCAAUCAGACGCGUUAACUGGUUACCGUAGUAAACUGACGUUUCGGGAACAAACUUUGUCCCCAUCUUCAGUGUUCUGAUUUGACUGGAUCCUCGGAAGGCGAGUUCCGAGGAUCCAGUCACAACAGAACACUGAAGGUGGGGACAAAGUUUGUUCCCGAAACGUCAGUUUACUACGGUAACCAGUUAACGCGGCUGGUUGGCCGAUAAGAUUUUAUUAAUCUACAAACACAUUGUACAUUACACCUUCAGGAUGCUUCAUUGCGUCGUCACUGAAGCGUUAUAUAUUUACACUGGUUUCAAAAGUCACUUGCUCGAUGUUGAUCAUAAUCGCCGUGAUCCGAGAGGGAUAAGAUCUGUUUUAUAUUUAAAAUGAUUUACGUAAUUACCACGCGUGUAAAGUUUUGCUGCGGGCUGGUUCAGAAACCGUAAUACUUGUACAAGUGUUGCAGAAAGCAUAUAUGGAUGGAAUGAAGAUGGAGCCUGAUUCAGACAGUGAUAAUGAGCCAGUGUCAGCUCUCUGUGAAACGGAGUUCAUGGAUAUGAACGAAGAAGAUUCUCCUACUGCUAUUGGUUCACAUAUCUUGGGCAUCACAGAUGAGGAUAUUAAAGCAAAAAGUGUGGAAGGAACUAACGCACAAGUCAGAUCUGGUGGAGCCAAGCAGCAGUACGUUCGUGGAAUGGAAACUGUGUACAUAAAACAGGAAGUAGAGGAUGAGGUUACUAC